rnacentral:rRNA from 1 species
UACGGGGGGGGCAAGCGUUGUUCGGAAUUACUGGGCGUAAAGGGCUCGUAGGCGGCCAACUAAGUCCGACGUGAAAUCCCAAGGCUUAACCUUGGAACUGCGUCGGAUACUGGAUGGCUUGAAUUCGGGAGAGGGAUGCAGAAUUCCAGGUGUAGCGGUGAAGUGCGUAGAUAUCUGGAGGAAUACCGGUGGCGAAGGCGGCAUCCUGGACCGACAUUGACGCUGAGGAGCGAAAGCUAGGGGAGCAAACGGG